GUUUUAGGAAAUAAGUGGGAAAAAAACCAAAGACAAAUCUGGUAAAAUUCUACAGGACUUGGAAAGAGUUCACUUUGAAAAUGGAGAAGAGUUAGUGACCUGUCUGGUAGACGACGGCUUUAUAAUUCCUACCCAAGAACAGCUGCUAGCCUUAAGGAUUGACUCGUCCAACUUGGACAUGGCGGACUGUGCUCUCCCACAGACGAUUAGCUUGUUCUGGAAACCAGUCCUUCAAUUCCUCCAUCAAUAUGAACUCACAAACAGCCUUUUGAUCAAGUUGGCCUCGAAAAUAACAACAAAAUCCUGUUUGCAGAACCAUAUAAUGUGUGGCUGGAUUCAUCAUAUAAUUUCAUCAAAUGAACAUG